rfam:Medicago truncatula strain A17 chromosome 2, whole genome shotgun sequence.
UUGAAUGUAAUUGAUUUAUGUUUGGAUACAAUAACCUAAAAUUGAUUCUUAUCAAUUUAUGUUGUUUGGGUAG